UGUAAUUUGAGAUUAUUCAUGCAUACUUGAAAUAAAGGGGUAUAGAUAAGCUAGUUUGUAGAGUGCUUCUAAAUUGUUGUUUCAAUAGUUCACUUUAUCUUAUGGUUUUAUUGAAGUACAUGCUAAACUUAAUGAAAGUUAUGAUCCUCAAAACAUGGUUUAAUUCUAUUUAUUUAUUUUAAAAUGUGGAUGGGAAAUGUUUGGCUAGAAGAUUAUGUCAUUACAAACAUUCAAAGCCUCCUUUUGCUUCUCUGUCUGGUUCAAUGAAUUUGAAUGUAUCCAAUUAUGAGGGUCUUGGGUUGGACUUGUGCGCAUUAACUUUGAAAGCUCAUGAUGUCAAACAAUUGUAAAUCUUGGAGCAUUUCUCUCCCGUGCAGAGUUCUUCAGAUUGGACCUAUGUACCGUCAUUGAAGAUAAUCCACCAGCAUAGACUUUAAACUUGAUUGCAAUCAUUUUCACAUUCUUAUGAUCAGUUUUCCUUAAUUAACUAUUAAUCUUCUCUUUGUUACUAAUCUGGUUCAUGAAUUCCACAGAUUCUUGGAGUGUCGAUCAUGAUUUCUUAACAUCAUGCUCUUUCAAUGAAUCAUAAGGCUGACUCCAUUCGUCACGAAAAAUGGUCAUGUUCAUCCUUCUAGAACAUCGCCAUAUGAUCAUGUUUCAUAAGUUCUUCGUGUGCCUAUUGUCAUUUGGACUACUUGAAAGUUGAAACCCCUUCUUAAACUACAGAUCUCUUCAUCUGGGUAGCUAUGAUGGUCAUAUAACUGACACAGACACAGAUAUGUGAACAAGAAUGUGGUUCUCCAUUCCUCUUGAUAUCUGUUGAAGUCCCUUGAUAUACAUUGAUACGCCAUCUUCUAACGGCCAAGGUUUCAGAGCAACUAGUUGUUUGACAUGGUAAUAGAGCGAGAGGUCUUGUGUUCGAAUCCCAGGAGUAGCAAAUAUGGCUCAGUUAAUAUAUUCCCCAAUGGGGGGUGUUUAUGGUGUGAAUUGUGAUUGUCCCUCCACCCUUGCCCAGUAUGUUCCCGUGCGGAUUUCCACCCCGCACGUGUGGGGGAGUGUUGAAGUCCUUUGAUAUACGUUGAUACACCAUCCUCUAACAGCUUGAGCUUUUAGAGCAACUGGUUGUUUGACAAUACCCCUAAGGUGCAUCUAUUGCCAUUUGGACUACUUGAAACCCCUUCUUAAACUAUAGAUCUCUUCACCUUGGUGGCUAUGACAGUCAGAUAAAAAUACUGACAUGGGUACAAAUAUGGGAACAAGAAUGCAGUUCUCCAUUUCCCAAUAGUUUAGGAUACACACAUGGAUAUGUACAUGCUCUCCCAAUUUUGCAUGCCAUUUAGUUUUCAUUAAACAAGAUUUUGUUCUUAAUUUUUUUCGGAAGUUACAAGUCUAAUGAUAUUGAUAGUAUUUGUAAUUUUUACAGUAUAAUCACACAUUGUUAUGGCUAGAAUGAUUAGUCAUAUACAUACAAACAUACGUACAUAAUACACUCGAAUCUAUCAUAAGCUAUGGUAGAGUUGACCAUUGUAGGUUCCACUGUGCUGUGUUUUAGAGAUCCAAGCUGCUAAUCAGGUGCGUCGCGCCAUGUUAGACCUAGGCCCAAUCCAUAACUAAGGUGAGCCCCACCAUGGAAAACAAUGCGGAGGGGACGCCCACUAUUGGUUACCUUUGAGGCCCAAUAUGAUGUUUAUAUACCAUCCUACCCCUUCAUUUUGUCUCCUACAUGGAUGGGGGAAACCAAAAAUCAUGCCAUUCUCAGAAUUCAGUGGGCCCCACUAGGUGAUUGGUGUUUUUACACUUUUGUGUGGCCCACUUGAGACCAGAAUAUGGCUGAUUUUUGAGGUGUUUCAUUUUCUAGAGGGGGUGCCUCUGAUGCAUGACUUAUGUCUGACACGCAUCAUGGUGGUCCCACAUGCAGUACACUGCAAUGUAUAAUUCACCUUGUCUUGAUUCUCCUGCUCGUGCACGCACACAUAGGGUAGAUACCAUGUAGUCAACACUAUGAGAGGUUUCCACUGUGUGUAGGGUAAUGACCCCAUGUUGACAAUAGAGAGGUUCUUACAAUGUCGAGUAGUGUAGCCAGUGAGAUGUGUUUCGGACUUAACCUGCCCAUCCAUUGUGCCUAUUGAUGUUUUAUGCUCAGGGUCCCCAAAUCAGCCCAAUCCAUAAUUUAGAUGGGCCACACCAUAGAGGACAGUGGGGAGGGGAAAUGUAGGUGUCCAUUUAGGGUCCAACAUGAUGUUUCUAUGCUUAUCUUACUGGUUCAUUCUAUGUGCCCCACCCGGCUGAAGGGACACCAAAAAUCAAGUUGUUCCAAAACCCAAGUGGUCCCCACCACACCAACCACUUGAUUUUAGAGGUUUUAGGUAUGAAUUGGCAAUGUUCCUGUGGUGUGGCCCACCUUUGGAUUCGACUAAGGUAUACCGUAACGGCCGUUACGACCUAGUGACGAUCAAAAACUUUUUUUUUUUUAUUUGCCAAAAAAUUGACCAAGGUAUACCGUAGCAGUUCUUACGACCUAGUAAGGAUUUAAAAAAAUUUGCCAAAAAAAUUGAUAAAAUAGAAGAAAAAUUCGAAAUAUUUAGAGGAUUUCAAAUAUGCACUUAAAACAUGUUUAUGAUGGCAUAACAGUCCAUUCCUUAGUAAGAAUGUUGUCUCGGCUUCUUUGAUGAUGUUAUGAACCUGACAAGUUUAGAUUGACUGGAAAAAUCCUAUGUUUAAUUUCCUAAAUAUAUGAUAUCAAUGAUAAGAAUAUAUUUAACAUAAAUGUAAUACUAAUAAUGAGAUAAUUAUUUAUAUUUAUAUAACCAUGUACUGUCUCAAAAGUAAAAAAGCUCAAAACAUAAGUGACGAGUCAUAAAAUAAUGUCACUCAACGCCCAAUGGACAAAUAUUUGCAUCACCAGCCAAUCACCACUUGAGUGAAAAUUUUGUUGUUUAUGAUUGGUUGACCUCCAUGUCCUCAUCAUCAACAAAAGUUGGAGGGAAAACCCAUGUUAAUGAAACUUGAGGACGAUUGAUCACCUUGUUGGGGAUUUGUUGUGUCAGCCCCGAAUAAGAAUAUCUACCACUGUCAGACGAAGACCCAUAACCAUAGUCAUAACCACUAGACCCGCCACCACAGUUGUGCCUGUACCUGCAUUGCGGCUACCCUUAGCAUUGCUGCUUGUAGUGCUGGGAAUGAGAGUGGGGUGACAAAUAACUCGAAUUUGGACCCCGCAUAUGGGUAUCCUCAAUAUCGACUAGCUUCAUAUGGAUCAUAUUGACGACCAGGACUAGCUUGACAUGAAUGUGGCUCAACAUGCUCCAUAUACUAUCUAUGGUCAUAUCCAUAUCCAUAAGUGAUUUGAUGUCCGGGAAUUCCAUCUCUUCCAGUAUCACUAGUGCCAGCCUCCUGAUGAUGCUCCCUCUCGUCUAGAUGUAUUGUGGCUCAGUACAUUUAUAAGUUCGGUCUCCUAUAUCCCGUCGAUCCUCAUUGGCCUCGCAAUCUAUAGCAGGUUGUACCCCUUGUUCUAAGUAACACUAGAAGUAGGUGCAUCAUCAUCAUCACCAUUUUUUUCAACUACAUCGUUAUUGUUACCGCCAUGAUCAUCAGUCUCGAUUUCGCUGUCACUAGUAUUCUUUUGUUGGGUUAAAUCAACCCUUUAGGUCUACAUGACUUUGUUCCUACCUUGUGCAUAUCAGUGGGUCGUGCACCUUGACUUAUUGACUAUCAUCUUCUACAUAUUUCUGUCUUUGUUCCAACCAAGGUAGAAGUGGGCUAUCCUCAUCAUAAAUGUGGUCUGUCCUAGUUUAUUGGACAAAAGUUGCCCUCGUUGAUCAGAAAAAACUGCUUAUUUUGGGGAUUUUUCUUGACAGCCACUAUUCAUCCAAAAAUUGUCUGAAAAUGAGAA